UUCUUUUUUUCUUUUUCUUGGACCCCUACACAAAUAUUUUUCUUUCGCGCGGAUAAUCUCUGAUCACCGCAUUUGAACCCCGACAACUUCAUGUCACUCUCGCUACCAAACAAUGAACCCCGUUCUCCAUUUGAACCCCGUUCUCCAGAAGACACUCUGCGUCUCCUUUUCUCCUGAUGGACCCCGAUCUCCGUGUUGAUC
rnacentral:lncRNA from 1 species